rnacentral:rRNA from 1 species
UACAGAGGGUGCGAGCGUUGUCCGGAAUCACUGGGCGUAAAGGGCGCGUAGGUGGCUGGGUAAGUGUGCGGUGAAAGUCCGGGGCUCAACCCCGGAUCGGCCGUGCAGACUGCCUGGCUUGAGCAUAGUAGAGGCAGGUGGAAUUCCGGGUGUAGCGGUGGAAUGCGUAGAGAUCCGGAAGAACACCGGUGGCGAAGGCGGCCUGCUGGGCUAUUGGCUGACACUGAGGCGCGACAGCGUGGGGAGCAAACAGG